UUGGUUGUUGUCGUUUCACGUUGUCUUUUUACGUUCGUACGGUGAUAUUUUACAAACCAAGUAUAAAAGCUGCUUAGAAUAGGUCUAUCAUGAAGGGCACUUUUCAGAAUUUGGGCUGGAAAGGGUUAUUUUGUCGACGCGGGAUGGGGAGGGGUGGGGGGAAAGAAAGCCUAUUUAAAAAUGAGCCUGUGACUAUUAUGCACAUUACCGGAGGCGGACCCAGUAAUCAGAAAGGGUGAAGUGUGAUAUUUAGCGGUGGUACCGGAGAGGAAGGAAUCCAAACGGGAACUCCUGACUGUACAGGUUGGACGGGGCGGGCGGGAGGGGGGGGAUCGGGGUAUCUCUGUGUCCACUACUCCCAUGGAUCUGCCUAUGCACAUUACCCUCGUUUCAUUACUUUUUUUUUUUCCAUGUCAUUUUUUUUAAUCCCAAAAAUCGAAAAAGUUUAAAAAAACAAAAAAAACACAAAAAACCCCCCCACACACACACAAAAAAAAAACAUAUCAAACAUGCAAAUACUUGAAUCCAGCAGGCCAAUAACAAAAUGUGAACACUUUCUAAGUCUAAUUAUUACACUUCCAGGUUGGCAUCAGUACACAAAAAACAGGCUCUAAGAAUAUUUUCUUUUUUUUAAGUUCAGACUAUACGUUUUGUUGGGACAGACGCGUGUGUGUGCGUGUGCUUGUGCGUGCGUUCGUGUGCGUGUGUGCGCGCGCCCGUGUGUGACUUAACUCAAAAGUGUGAAUUUUUAUUUUUUUUUUUCCUUUUAUUCAGUAUAUGCUUUUUAUUUGCUCAUUGGUCAAAUGUUUAAUUGUUAUUAGCUUCUAACUUUGCACUGAGUGUCCGCAGCCCUUCUUGUAGCUAAUCCUAUGAUGUUAAAAAGAAAAAAGAAAAAAAAAAAAAAAAAAAAAAAGAAGAAAAAAAAAAAGACUUCCAUCGUAAAGAAAACUAUUUUCAGAAUGAAGAUAUGCUACUUCAGAGCUCUGGGAUUGAACAGUGUUGUUGUAUUAUUCUUUUCUUUGGCCAUUGCUGUGUACUAUUUUUGUUGUUGUUUUCCUCCUCUUCGUCAAAGUGGCGAAAACUUUGUGAUCACUAUCUUGCACAUGGUGGAAGAUGUCUCAGGAAAGCCGGGUUUCCCGAGGAGCAACUCCACACCAUUUCAUGUAUUUUUAAAACCCAACUCCUAG
rnacentral:lncRNA from 1 species